rnacentral:rRNA from 1 species
UAUCUCUGUAGAGUCUGCAUAUCAAUAAGCGGAGGAAAAGAAACUAACUAGGAUUCCCUUAGUAACGGCGAGUGAAGCGGGAAGAGCUCAAAUUUGAAAUCUUCAAGGUUCUACCUUGACGAAUUGUAGUUUAAAGAAGUGUUUUCUGUUGGAGUUUUGGUAAAAGUUCUUUGGAAUAGGACAUCAUAGAGGGUGAGAAUCCCGUAUUUGACCAUUUCUUCCAGCUGUGUGAUACACUUUCAAAGAGUCGGAUUGUUUGGGAAUGCAGUCCAAAAUGGGUGGUAAAUUUCAUCUAAAGCUAAAUAUUGGCGAGAGACCGAUAGCGAACAAGUACCGUGAGGGAAAGAUGAAAAGAACUUUGAAAAGAGAGUUAAACAGUACGUGAAAUUGUCAAAAGGGAAGCGUUUGACACCAGUGUUGUUUUCUCGAAAAUCAAUUAAAAAUGGCCGGAUUUUGUGUUGUAUUGACUUUAUCAGCUUUCUGCACUUUUUUCUUGUCUUUUUUAAUGCACUUUUCGUUUAACAAGUCAACAUCAAUUUCUUUUGUUGUAAAAGAGUCAUUGGAAGGUGGCUUUCACUUCGGUGAAAGUGUUUAUAGCCUUUGACUUCUGCAAUCGGAGAGAUUGAGGUCUGCAGCGUAGAUCCUUCGGGGUUAGAUACAUUUGUGCUAAGUUAUAGUUUUUCAUAGACAACAUGUUGACUAUGAUUAAUCAUGUAGCUUACUCGCUUAUGCUAUUUUACCUACGCUUAGGAUGUUGAACGCGCACAGAGUCUC